UUCCUCCGCUGCUCAGAGCCCAGAAGCCUCCUCCGGCGGCGGCAGUGUCGGCGGGGAUGAGCACGAGGAACUCCGUCGUGACGGCGCACAAGCCCGCCAGCGCCAGCCACUCCCGCGUCGGCAGCUUCACCAGCUCAGCCUCAUCGUCGCGUACGCACCCGCACAACCCUCCCUCCCUCCCUCCCCUCCCCGCACAAUCCCCAGCUUAUUGUGUAGCCCCGGACGUGUUCCUGGUCUCGGGGGACGUCCUCUACUGUUUUGGUUCGAGUCCGUGGGGGCGCUGGCGGGCGGCUGCCCUAGGGUUUUGCUCCCGGCCAGAGUGCACGCGCGCGCGUGACUGCGCCUGAUUCGUUUCGCCCCUGGGGCCCGGGCUGGGCUGCCCCCGCGGCUCCUCUCCGGCGAGUUGUUCGGGAGGAUCUGGGGCAGUGUGGUGUGCAGCCCUAGGGCACUGUAUUGGUGUUCUGUAUAGGUCGUUGGGCCAGGGCAAAAUGGCACUGCAGUCUGCACCCCCAGCACGCGUAGCCUGAUAACAGGGAAAUUGUGCGCGACCCACAUGACGGUAUCGUCGGAAUGCAGCGACAUUGAUUUACGCACGCUUGGCAACACAGAGCUUUAUAGUGUUCACUGAAACUGAUCCAUCAGCAACAGGCUUGUGAUUUGCAGUUAAUUAGAUGGCACUGUUUUUCUGUGCUGUGUGUACCUGUUAAAUCCUUCUGCUAAAUGCCGCAGACUGCCAAACCUUUCAGGAAAUGCGCCCGCUCUCACGCCGCAGGGCCUUCAUUCAGGUUAGUGAUGGAUGUCACGUCGUCGAGGGCCGGCGACCUGUCUUUUUGUUUGCAUGUUAAUCCGCUACUGUAACAGUCCAUCAUGCACUUCACAUCUGCUUCUCCUUACCUAGGAACUAGAAAAGUAUUCUGAAACUAAAAAGAAUCCACAUUUGUAUUACUCAUUUGCCCAAGAAUAGAGAUUACGUCAGCUGAUUUUGCAACCGAGGAGAGCGGCAAAGCCCCAAGCUCUAAACGGGGACGCCGCAGCCGCCCGUGACGUUACCGGCGGAGGAGAGACAGGGGGUAGGGGGCAGGAGGUGGAAGGAGAAGAAAUCGGCCGGGAGGAGGAAAAAGAGCCGCAGCCGUUGGAUUGAAAUUCAUGAAAUCCAACGGUUGGGAACUUGGGAUAGAGAGGUAAUCGACUGAAAGCAAAAAUAAAUAAAUAGAAUCAGGCGUCUGACCUGUAGGUGCUCCCAAAAGGAAUCUUGAUUUACGUUAGUGUAUGUAUACAUCUCUUUGCCAUGCUUCCCCACACACAUUGUCUCAGGAACAAUACAUAUAUGUAGCUAAAAUUUAAAGUGGCAACUCCAACAAAUUGUUUGUAUGUUAGUAACCUAGUAUUACGCCGUGAGGGCAACACUAAUCUUGAUUUACGUUUUUGGGAAUUAACGUUCUCUAACUGAUACCCAAUAAUACCCCUUUAAAUCUUGCACCACGCUGCCCGCUCUCGUAGUUCGUUGCCGCCUCCCUCCUCCAUAGCCACCCCAUGCCUCAAGCCGCCUCUUGGCAUGGACACCGUCGCCCUGAACCUGGCGGCGGCAACCAAGCUCAACCAUGAGCUCGUCUGUACCCCACACCCACACAGGCCGAUUUGUCUCCUGAGAGUCAGUUUGAAAAUUUUCAUAAAGGUAGCCACAGAUAGGCUCAACGCGGCGGCUGACCACGAGCUCGUCUGUACCCCACACCCACACAGGCCGAUUUGUCUCCUGAGAGUCAGUUUGAAAAUUUUCAUAAAGGUAGCCACAGAUAGCCUCAACGCGGCGGCUGACCACGUGGUCCACCUGUCUCAAACUACAUUCAUGCAAGGAAGAAACAUCGAGCAGUUAUCCUACAUGAGACCGUCCAUGAGAUGCGCCGGAAAAACAUGAGUGGGUGAUCUUUUAAGAUGGACUGUGCUCUUUGCAGGUGUGUAAUCCACUGUGUGUGCGUUGCUGUUGGAUGUCUGCAUCCUAGUAAUGCAGAGGCCAGGUGUGUGCUCGUUGUGCCUAUACCUUUGAUAUGACCUUAUGAGUCAAUAGAAAGCACCCUUUAUCGGGAAAAAAAACACACUAAAAAAGGGCUGAAGUUGUUUUUACCAUUGUUGAGCUUGCCAGUUAUCUAUGAAGGUACAGCAGCAAUCAUGGUACCUACGCAAGUAAACUGAAUACAAUGUUCAUGUUCCGAAAAAAUGGACUAAAUAAUCCAAUGCACCUUUUCUUUUGUAUCUGCUAGUUGAAUCACUUCUACUGUGACUCACAAUCCUUGGGGGACCCAAUCCUCCUCUUUGAGUCAUCGCAGUAAUCAUAGACCUUGGAGUUGGCAGCCACCUCCUUCAGUUGCUGUUGCUGCGUCUGGUCCAGUUCCGUGCCGAACGAACCAGGGGAGCUCUGGCCACAGGCCUUGGAGCUUGGAGAACAGGCGGUGGCCUUGUAGUUCCGGAAGUAUGCUGUGAACGGCGCUAGUGACCAGUCAGUCUUGACCCGCCCACCCUGUGUCGCCCAGUCAUCUGCAUUCCAGAUGGUGCUGUACACCCUCAUUGGUUGAUAGUUUGGAUAGGGGGCACCAAACAUCAUCUGGUUCUUGAUCUGCCGGAGCAGCUUGUUAUCGACAAGGAUUCUGCAACCCAGCAACAUCCAUAUGAGCUAGGCUUAGUGCAUGCAAAUACCUUUUCGAUCUAAAAAUUAUUUAACAUGUCCGACUAAACUGAGCAUUCAUGCUUCAUUUGGAACCAGAUGCUAUUUAGAUAGGAGGGGUUAGCUUAGCUAAGCAGGUAUUAGGUUGAACAAGAAUCGAGUAGAUAGGAGUGGGGCUCACCGGAUGUAUUGUUGGGUCCAAAUGAUGCUAUAGGUGUGGAAGUCCUGGGAGGGAUCAAACCAAAGCCGGUACCCCUUCUCUCUGCUGCCUACGCCUCUGGCAUACACAUUGGUGUGCAGGGUGUAGGGGUUGCCGGUGCUGUUCCCCAAGAAUUCAAGGUCGAUCUCAUCGUGGUAUUGCCAUGGUCCCUCCGACAUCAUCUGUUCCCAGAUUGCAAUGCAAGAUGGUUAGUCUUAGUAUUGACAAGUUGACACAAACGACGUUAAUCAGUCCAUCACUUACAUAAAAUGUUGUCACUGUGCCGGCUGAGUUCCCGGGCAUGAGCUUGAUUUCCAUGUCAAUCCUCCCAAAGAGGUACUUGAGUUUCGAGCUGAAUCCGGAGGUUGUGCUGCGGUCGAGACUCAUCGCGACAGUCUGUCGGCCGGCGCCAUCACGGACAACGUUGCACUUGCCCCACAGGAGAUUGACCUCGUCGGUGAUGUCGGCAGUGACCUGAGGGGUGGCCAGGGCGACGAGGUAGAAUGCCGCUAGGGAGGCUAGGAGGUAAGCCCUAGCCUGGCCCAUGGUUUUGGUGGUGUUAAGAGAGGGAGCACUGGGACUGGGCGCAGUGUGAUUGUGCUGCUCGUUAAUGUUAUGGGCGGGCUUAUAUGUAGAAAGAGGUGCAGGGGAGAUUAGGGCUUAUGUGGAAAGAGGUGCAGGGGAGAUUAGUUGGUCCAAGACUAAACAGGGUGAACUUUAAUAGUAAUUAUUCUCGGAAGAUGUAAGAAACUGGAGACAAUUGUGAAGCAGGCGGGUAUAAAAAAUCUUGAUGACUGGGCUUCAUUUAAAGCUUGAGCAGUGAUCGAGUUGAGUGGACUAAUGGUUCAUUUAAAGCUUGAGCAGUGACUGAGCUGAGUUGACUAAUGGUUCUAGGGCUCUAUCAUGGCAACAACCUGUGAGUGGCGGGGCCUACCGUACCGUGGCUUCUGGCAGACUAGGCUGGUUCUCCAGCAAGUUGAAGAAGUAUAUGAGACUGAUGGAUGGCUUUUAUUACUUUCAUUCUUUGUUGUGGCACAGUUUUACUUUUACAUAUCAAAUCACUAGAUCCACUGACUAUUUCAAUAUGUGAACUCAGUCAUAAAGCAUCUUGCUUUCCCAAGCCCUCUAAAUUUGUACGUCUCACAUCUAGGUCAGUGAUUAUCUUCAUCUCCUCCAGCACCCGGUCACAAUUCAGAAUCAUUUGUUGCAGUUCCAAGCCCUGCACUAACUUUCAGAUAUGUGCAGUUUCUUGCAUUCAGACUUCUGUUGUCUACUGGUUGUUCUCUCUCUCAAAAAGAAAAGAAAUGUAUACUGCUUGUUCGGUGGAUCCUCUGAAAGAUGCCGCAUUUGUGAGAUUGUGUAACAGUUAGGUUUGUUAUAGAUGAAUCUUUGGAAGGAGUAUGAAAAAACUUGUCAACUAGGUUAGUAUCUACUAGGUUGGGAGAUCUAAUGGUUGAUCUAUUAACUAAUGCAACUAUGAAAAUGUUGAUUCCAUAGGCAUCGAACUGGAAGUCAGAAGGCGAAGUUUGUCAGCUGCACAAAAAACUAAAAAUACUGGAAAAUAGUUACAUGAAAGUUUCUGUAUGCAACCAUGAAAAUGCUGAUGUUCCUCCAUAGGCAUCGAACUGGAAGUCAGAAGGCGAAGUUCGUCAGCUGCGCAUAACGAGGUGCUGCACAAAAAAACUAAAAAAAUUGGAAAAUAGUUACAUGAAAGUUUAUGUUUUAACUGCUGCGCAUGUAUGUGCACUUGCCCCUAUAAACCCUUGGGAGACUCAUUUCUGCACUCUGAGUAGCUGAAAUCUGGUUGGCCAGAUUUGCUGCAUGCUCACAGGAAGUCAUACCGGUGCUUGUUCGAUCUGGAAUCUGAAGUUUUCCAUACUGUCAGAAUCCCUAUAUUAUAGGAGCAUUGCAUGUUACAAAGCAUUUGCACUUGACUUGUCUUUGAAUUAUUUUUGCAUUACGAAAUGAAUAUAACUACCAUAAAGUUAGUUUUGUUAUAUAGUUCUCUUAUCAUGUACUGUCUCAGCAUGAUUUCUCACAAAGUCGGUACAUUUUUGCGAUCCAGGGUGGUGGUGAAGCAAGAGACGGUCUGGUGGUAAACAACAACCAGUUUGUUGAUGAGUGAUUAUACCAAUCCAGCCAUCUUUUCAUUGAGUUUACUGUCAGAAAAUGCAUACAUCUCUGCAGUUAUUUCACAGAUAAAGCAAUUCAUCAUGAUCUGUACAGUUCAUGUCUACACUCUGAGUAGACAUGAUCUGCAGAGGCAUUUGGUUGAGUUGGUGACAGUCUGGCAGAUACACAUGAUCUGCACAGGCAUUUGGUUGACCCUGCAAAUCUAACCAUUUCUUACUGUUGUUGCCAUGUUGGUGUUUGUGCUGAAAGGAUCAUGAAGUGUCCGUGCCUUCGGUACAGGUCUUACAUGGGCCGCAAUUUAUCGAGGUCCGUACAUCUAUGAUGCUCGAAUUAAUGGGCACCAUUUGUCUAUGCGCAACCAGAUGAGCAUACCUAGGGUCCAGAGAUCGCAUCGAUUCUGUGCUGCUGAUCGAGAUUUGAACCAAUGCUAAUUUUUAAAGGCUCUGUGUCUGGCUUUGUGAAUCCUAUGUAGGCAGAGGUAUCUGAGGUCAUUGUGUUGAUGCAAUAAUCUGGAACCGAUAGUUUGUUUGGAUGGAGCACUGUGCAAUACAUACAUUUGUGUCAGAGGAAGAUGGAAAUGUAAAUUUUCUUUUUAAUGCACCAUUUGGAACCAAGGAAUUUUUCCUGGAAAGUUCCUUUUUUGUUUUACCCUAGACACUGGUUUAUUUGAAAUUCUGCAUCUCAAGCUUGAGUUUGUUCGAUUUGCAUAUGGGGACCCUAUGAUGUCUCAGACUCUGGUUCGGAUGCUCCAAAUGAUAAAUGUUUUUGGACAAUGGUUCUACAGGUGCCAAACCAGCAAGUUCCAUUGUGCCCGGUACCAAGACUGUUAGCUGUG
rnacentral:lncRNA from 1 species